AUGGCGGCCUCGCAGUCGCGGUGGUAGUUCUGACGCACUUGGGACUCCAUUUUUCGCUGGCGUUUCUUGAGUUUUUCUUAACAAAACGGUAUAAAAAUAAAGCUUUACGUCGACUUUUCCAGUAGUGUUGAAGUAGUAAAGGUUAUUUGUGUCUCGAAUGCAGACUAGUUAAAG